AGAGACAGCAGUAGCCGCGGGAAUACGUAGGUGGCAAGCGUUGUCCGGAAUUAUUGGGCGUAAAGCGCGCGCAGGCGGAUCAGUCAGUCUGUCUUAGAAGUUCGGGGCCUAACCCCGUGAUGGGAUGGAAACUGCUGAUCUAGAGUGUCGGAGAGGAAAGUGGAAUUCCUAGUGUAGCGGUGAAAUGCGUAGAUAUUAGGAAGAACACCAGUGGCGAAGGCGACUUUCUGGACGAAAACUGACGCUGAGGCGCGAAAGCCAGGGGAGCGAACGGGAUUAGAUACCCCAGUAGUCCCUGUCUCUUAUACA
rnacentral:rRNA from 1 species